AGAGUUUGAUCCUGGCUCAGGAUGAACGCUAGCUAUAGGCUUAACACAUGCAAGUCGAGGGGCAGCGAAUAGAUAGCUUGCUAUUUAUGUCGGCGACCGGCGCACGGGUGAGUAACGCGUAUCCAACCUGCCCAUAACUAAGGGAUAACCCAGCGAAAGUUGGACUAAUACCUUAUGUAUUCGUUUGAUCUCAUGAGAUUACGAAUAAAGAUUUAUCGGUUAUGGAUGGGGAUGCGUCUGAUUAGCUUGUUGGCGGGGUAACGGCCCACCAAGGCAACGAUCAGUAGGGGUUCUGAGAGGAAGGUCCCCCACAUUGGAACUGAGACACGGUCCAAACUCCUACGGGAGGCAGCAGUGAGGAAUAUUGGUCAAUGGACGCAAGUCUGAACCAGCCAAGUAGCGUGCAGGAUGACGGCCCUAUGGGUUGUAAACUGCUUUUAUAUGGGGAUAAAGUGGGGAACGUGUUCCCUUUUGCAGGUACCAUAUGAAUAAGGACCGGCUAAUUCCGUGCCAGCAGCCGCGGUAAUACGGAAGGUUCGGGCGUUAUCCGGAUUUAUUGGGUUUAAAGGGAGCGUAGGCCGUUUGGUAAGCGUGUUGUGAAAUGUAGGAGCUCAACUUCUAGAUUGCAGCGCGAACUGUCAGACUUGAGUGCGCACAACGUAGGCGGAAUUCAUGGUGUAGCGGUGAAAUGCUUAGAUAUCAUGAAGAACUCCGAUUGCGAAGGCAGCUUACGGGAGCGCAACUGACGCUGAAGCUCGAAGGUGCGGGUAUCGAACAGGAUUAGAUACCCUGGUAGUCCGCACAGUAAACGAUGGAUGCCCGCUGUUAGCACCUAGUGUUAGCGGCUAAGCGAAAGCAUUAAGCAUCCCACCUGGGGAGUACGCCGGCAACGGUGAAACUCAAAGGAAUUGACGGGGGCCCGCACAAGCGGAGGAACAU
rnacentral:rRNA from 1 species